rnacentral:rRNA from 1 species
GGGUUGUGAGGUUAAGCGACUAAGCGUACACGGUGGAUGCCCUGGCAGUCAGAGGCGAUGAAGGGCGUGCUAAUCUGCGAUAAGCGCCGGUAAGGUGAUAUGAACCGUUAUAACCGGCGAUACCCGAAUGGGGAAACCCAGUGUGAUUCGUCACACUAUCAUUAACUGAAUCCAUAGGUUAAUGAGGCGAACCGGGGGAACUGAAACAUCUAAGUACCCCGAGGAAAAGAAAUCAACCGAGAUUCCCCCAGUAGCGGCGAGCGAACGGGGAGGAGCCCAGAGCCUGAAUCAGCAUGUGUGUUAGUGGAAGCGUCUGGAAAGGCGCGCGAUACAGGGUGACAGCCCCGUACACAAAAGCGCAUGUGCUGUGAGCUCGAUGAGUAGGGCGGGACACGUGGUAUCCUGUCUGAAUAUGGGGGGACCAUCCUCCAAGGCUAAAUACUCCUGACUGACCGAUAGUGAACCAGUACCGUGAGGGAAAGGCGAAAAGAACCCCGGCGAGGGGAGUGAAAAAGAACCUGAAACCGUGUACGUACAAGCAGUGGGAGCCCCACCACUAAGCCAGUGGUGAACUCCACAUCCGCAUCCUUUGCUGAGGAUACGGUUAACGGAGCGAAAGCGACGUUCAACCGCAAAACAAGCAGAGGGGGCUUAGUGGUGGGGUGACUGCGUACCUUUUGUAUAAUGGGUCAGCGACUUAUAUUCUGUAGCAAGGUUAACCGAAUAGGGGAGCCGGAGGGAAACCGAGUCUUAAUUGGGCGUUAAGUUGCAGGGUAUAGACCCGAAACCCGGUGAUCUAGCCAUGGGCAGGUUGAAGGUUGGGUAACACUAACUGGAGGACCGAACCGACUAAUGUUGAAAAAUUAGCGGAUGACCUGUGGCUGGGGGUGAAAGGCCAAUCAAACCGGGAGAUAGCUGGUUCUCCCCGAAAGCUAUUUAGGUAGCGCCUCGUGAAUUCAUCUCCGGGGGUAGAGCACUGUUUCGGCUAGGGGGCCAUCCCGGCUUACCAACCCGAUGCAAACUGCGAAUACCGGAGAAUGUUAUCACGGGAGACACACGGCGGGUGCUAACGUCCGUCGUGAAGAGGGAAACAACCCAGACCGCCAGCUAAGGUCCCAAAGUCAUGGUUAAGUGGGAAACGAUGUGGGAAGGCCCAGACAGCCAGGAUGUUGGCUUAGAAGCAGCCAUCAUUUAAAGAAAGCGUAAUAGCUCACUGGUCGAGUCGGCCUGCGCGGAAGAUGUAACGGGGCUAAACCAUGCACCGAAGCUGCGGCAGCGANNNNNNNNNNNNNNNNUGCUGGAGGUAUCAGAAGUGCGAAUGCUGACAUAAGUAACGAUAAAGCGGGUGAAAAGCCCGCUCGCCGGAAGACCAAGGGUUCCUGUCCAACGUUAAUCGGGGCAGGGUGAGUCGACCCCUAAGGCGAGGCCGAAAGGCGUAGUCGAUGGGAAACGGGUUAAUAUUCCCGUACUUGGUGUUACUGCGAAGGGGGGACGGAGAAGGCUAUGUUGGCCGGGCGACGGUUGUCCCGGUUUAAGCGUGUAGGUGUGUGUUCCAGGUAAAUCCGGUUCACUUUAACACUGAGGCGUGACGACGAGGCACUACGGUGCUGAAGCAACAAAUGCCCUGCUUCCAGGAAAAGCCUCUAAGCAUCAGGUAACACGAAAUCGUACCCCAAACCGACACAGGUGGUCAGGUAGAGAAUACCAAGGCGCUUGAGAGAACUCGGGUGAAGGAACUAGGCAAAAUGGUGCCGUAACUUCGGGAGAAGGCACGCUGACACGUAGGUGAAGUGAUUUACUCAUGGAGCUGAAGUCAGUCGAAGAUACCAGCUGGCUGCAACUGUUUAUUAAAAACACAGCACUGUGCAAACACGAAAGUGGACGUAUACGGUGUGACGCCUGCCCGGUGCCGGAAGGUUAAUUGAUGGGGUCAGCGUAAGCGAAGCUCCUGAUCGAAGCCCCGGUAAACGGCGGCCGUAACUAUAACGGUCCUAAGGUAGCGAAAUUCCUUGUCGGGUAAGUUCCGACCUGCACGAAUGGCGUAAUGAUGGCCAGGCUGUCUCCACCCGAGACUCAGUGAAAUUGAACUCGCUGUGAAGAUGCAGUGUACCCGCGGCAAGACGGAAAGACCCCGUGAACCUUUACUAUAGCUUGACACUGAACAUUGAGCCUUGAUGUGUAGGAUAGGUGGGAGGCUUUGAAGUGUGGACGCCAGUCUGCAUGGAGCCGACCUUGAAAUACCACCCUUUAAUGUUUGAUGUUCUAACGUGGACCCGUAAUCCGGGUUGCGGACAGUGUCUGGUGGGUAGUUUGACUGGGGCGGUCUCCUCCUAAAGAGUAACGGAGGAGCACGAAGGUUGGCUAAUCCUGGUCGGACAUCAGGAGGUUAGUGCAAUGGCAUAAGCCAGCUUGACUGCGAGCGUGACGGCGCGAGCAGGUGCGAAAGCAGGUCAUAGUGAUCCGGUGGUUCUGAAUGGAAGGGCCAUCGCUCAACGGAUAAAAGGUACUCCGGGGAUAACAGGCUGAUACCGCCCAAGAGUUCAUAUCGACGGCGGUGUUUGGCACCUCGAUGUCGGCUCAUCACAUCCUGGGGCUGAAGUAGGUCCCAAGGGUAUGGCUGUUCGCCAUUUAAAGUGGUACGCGAGCUGGGUUUAGAACGUCGUGAGACAGUUCGGUCCCUAUCUGCCGUGGGCGCUGGAGAACUGAGGGGGGCUGCUCCUAGUACGAGAGGACCGGAGUGGACGCAUCACUGGUGUUCGGGUUGUCAUGCCAAUGGCACUGCCCGGUAGCUAAAUGCGGAAGAGAUAAGUGCUGAAAGCAUCUAAGCACGAAACUUGCCCCGAGAUGAGUUCUCCCUGAGACUUAGAGUCUCCUGAAGGAACGUUGAAGACGACGACGUUGAUAGGCCGGGUGUGUAAGCGCAGCGAUGCGUUGAGCUAACCGGUACUAAUGAACCGUGAGGCUUAACCUUACAACGCCGAAG